CCUACGGGUGGCAGCAGUGGGGAAUAUUGCGCAAUGGGCGAAAGCCUGACGCAGCGACGCCGCGUGAGGGAUGAAGGUCUUCGGAUCGUAAACCUCUGUCAGCAGGGAAGAACGGUCACUGUGCUAAUCAGCAGUGAAUUGACGGUACCUGACUAAGAAGCCCCGGCUAACUACGUGCCAGCAGCCGCGGUAAUACGUAGGGGGCAAGCGUUAUCCGGAUUUACUGGGUGGAAAGGGAGCGCAGACGGCUGUGCAAGUCUGGAGUGAAAGGCGGGGGCCCAACCCCCGGACUGCUCGGGAAACUGUAAAGCUGGAGUGCAGGAGAGGUAAGCGGAAUUCCUAGUGUAGCGGUGAAAUGCGUAGAUAUUAGGAGGAACACCAGUGGCGAAGGCGGCUUACUGGACUGCAACUGACGUUGAGGCUCGAAAGCGUGGGGAGCAAACAGGAUUAGAUACCCCUGUAGUC
rnacentral:rRNA from 1 species